CUGACGUAGAUUCAGGAACAUGAUUCUUUCGUGGCACUACCUACAGAAGCCUUUGUGACCCCGCAAGGGGUGUUCCGCGACAUAAAAUAAUGGAAUGCGCAAGUCAGCCUGCGCUGGCAACAUGAUCGAAUUGCGGGAAGCCCUAAAGCCUUACGGUACCAACUGUUCGUGGAAACGCUAGCAGGGCCAGUGCUAACACCACUGGGUGGUCAGAACCUGUAGGGAUGCACAAUGGGUAAUCCGCAGCGAAGCUUCUACGGGCUGUUCUAGCCUACGAAGAACGCUCACAGACUAGGCGGUCGUGGCUAGGAUGCGCUGAGCGUCCUGGCUAAAAUAUAGUCGGGUCUCCCUAGCGAUAGGGGGCUGGAUAGCGCCUUUUAAGCGCUAUCUACACUAAACCGUUCCGUUGGUGAACCAGCGGAAGGAUCAUUACAGAGAUCAUGCCCUAACGGGUAGACCUCCCACCCUGUGUUAUUUACCUUUGUUGCUUUGGCAGGCCACCUCUGGGCGCUGGCUUCGGCUGCGCAGUGCUUGCCAAGGGACCUCAACUCUGAUUUUAGUGCUGUCUGAGCCUAUUGUUAAUACGUUAAAACUUUCAACAACGGAUCUCUUGGUUCUGGCAUCGAUGAAGAACGCAGCGAAAUGCGAUAAGUAAUGUGAAUUGCAGAAUUUAGUGAAUCAUCGAAUCUUUGAACGCACAUUGCGCCCCUUGGUAUUCCGGGGGGCAUGCCUGUUCGAGCGUCAUUUCAACCCUCAAGCCUCGCUUGGUGUUGGGCCCUGCCGGAGACGGCUGGCCCUAAAAUCAGUGGCAGUGCCGGUGGGCUCUAUGCGUAGUACUAUACCCUCGCUACUGAGACCUCCCGUGCGCGCGCCAGCAAUCCCUAAUUUUCUAUGGUUGACCUCGGAUCAGGUAGGGAUACCCGCUGAACUUAAGCAUAUCAAUAAGCGGAGGAAAAGAAACCAACCGGGAUUACCUCAGUAACGGCGAGUGAAGCGGUAACAGCUCAAAUUUGAAAUCUGGCAACAGCCCGAGUUGUAAUUUGUAGAAGAUGCUUCGGGCGUGGCUUCGGUCUAAGUUCCCUGGAACAGGACGCUAUAAAGGGUGAGAGCCCCGUAUGCGACUGACUGCCGCGCCUAUGUGAAGCUCUUUCGACGAGUCGAGUUGUUUGGGAAUGCAGCUCAAAAUGGGUGGUAUAUUUCAUCUAAAGCUAAAUAUUGGCCAGAGACCGAUAGCGCACAAGUAGAGUGAUCGAAAGAUGAAAAGCACUUUGGAAAGAGAGUUAAACAGUACGUGAAAUUGUUGAAAGGGAAGCGUUUGCAAUCAGACUUGCGCGUUGCUGAUCAUCCAGCGUUUUCGCUGGUGCACUCAGCUUCGUUCAGGCCAGCAUCGGUUUAGGUGGUUGGAUAAAGGCCCUGGGAACGUGGCUCUUUUCGGGGAGUGUUAUAGCCCAGGGUGCAAUGCAGCCUAUCUGGACCGAGGACCGCGCUUCGGCUAGGAUGCUGGCGUAAUGAUUGUAAAUGACCCGUCUUGAAACACGGACCAAGGAGUCUAACAUUUAUGCGAGUAUUUGGGUGUUAAACCCAUCUGCGCAAUUAACGUGAACGGAGGUAAGAGCCUUAAGGGUGCAUUAUCGACCGGUCAUGAUGUCUUCGGACGGAUCUGAGUAAGAGCAUAACUGUUGGGACCCGAAAGAUGGUGAACUAUGCCUGAAUAGGGUGAAGCCAGAGGAAACUCUGGUGGAGGCUCGCAGCGGUUCUGACGUGCAAAUCGAUCGUCAAAUUUGGGCAUAGGGGCGAAAGACUAAUCGAACCAUUGAUACUAGGUGGUUAACAGGAGCUCUCAUCCAGCACCUAGUCCAGCGUCUUGCUGGGCCACAUUACCAAAUUGCCGGGGACGUCCUGCUAAAUUCUAGGCCACUGCAGCUGUGUUGAAAGACCAGCGCGCACCAAGUGAACACUUGGGGAGAGUUAUAGCGCUUAGAUAGGGACAAUCCGCAGCCAAGCCCUAACGGCGUCAGCCUACGGGUGCAGUUCACAGACUAAAUGGUAGUGGGUUUAGCACGUGGUGCUAGGCUUAAGUGAUAGUCGAUCCGCCGGGAGACCGGUUGACGCGCCAGCGUAGAUAGUGAUAUCUACAGCGUGCGGGUCAGGAG
rnacentral:rRNA from 1 species